rnacentral:rRNA from 1 species
CAGCCGCCGCGGUAAUACGUAGGGUCCGAGCGUUGUCCGGAAUUACUGGGCGUAAAGAGCUCGUAGGUGGUUUGUCGCGUUGUUCGUGAAAACUCACAGCUCAACUGUGGGCGUGCGGGCGAUACGGGCAGACUAGAGUACUGCAGGGGAGACUGGAAUUCCUGGUGUAGCGGUGGAAUGCGCAGAUAUCAGGAGGAACACCGGUGGCGAAGGCGGGUCUCUGGGCAGUAACUGACGCUGAGGAGCGAAAGCGUGGGGAGCGAACAGGAUUAGAUACCCCCGUAGUCCCUGUCUCUUAUAA